AGCCAAGCCCCUGUCCCACUCCUGUUUCUCCCUAAAGCCAGUCCAGUUUGUAUUGAUUUGAUGCUAAAAAUAAGUUUCAGUUGCUCUUCCAUCAGACUAGGAUACCUUGUCUGCCUCUAGCAUUGCUGAUCUUGAGUGCUGACUACCUGAGUCAUCAUUUUCAAUUAAUGUACACAAUCCCAUUUGCCCAUUAUCCCAUGUUAGAACAAAGAAUUUGUGCAAUAAUGUUAGGAAAUUUAAUUAAUUGUGAGCUUCAUAUCAGACAAUUAUUGUCCAUAAAUCUGCUUACUCAUCAUCUCAAUCUCCUGCCUUUAAGGAAGGAGAAACCAUUCCUCUGUCAUUGCUGCAGUAGUCAAAAUCCCAGUUUUCUGGAAAGUGCAUAUAUACUGUGCUGACCACCUAAACUCUUUGCACUCAGUGAAAUUCUAAUCGUCCAUAAUCCUGCAUUGGACUAAAUCCCAAUUUAAAAACCCUUUUGCAUUCAGCAGUCCCAGUUGUCAUACCCUUGUCUGUUAAACAAAGGCAUCCUACCAUUUUUACCCUCUUGUGAGUCCUGUUCUUGGACAAUUAAAGUACCAAAUUGUAAUUGUACAUUGUCUCACUUAUUAAUCAAUGACCUUCUGUCCCGUUUGCAUUGCUAUUAGGCAGUGCUGACUAUCUGAGACCAUGUUCCUUGAAUUAUUAUUAUUGACUAGAAUACCAAUUGUUCAUUACACAAAUCCUUUGCAGCUUCUUUGCACUAUAAGGGAAGUGCCCAUCACUAAAGUCCUUUACUUCGGAAUAUUAAUGGAUACAAUCAUUACUGGUCAUGGUCCUGCCUACCAGAUAAGACCCACCCAUGCUCUUUUCAUUGUUCUUAGGUAGUGUGGACUACCUACCACCUUGCAUUAAUAUUUAAAAUCCUCAUUGUCCAUUGUCCCACUGUUAGCCUAGGAUAUCCCUUACCUCUAUGCCAUUUCUUCUAAGGAGUUCUGAUUACCCUAAGUCCUUUCUCUUAAACAAUUUAUGUGCAUAAUUGCAUAUACCUGUGGUCUCAUGCAAUUAAAAAUUAAAUCCUACACUCUGUGGAAUAUUGCUAGGUAGUGCAAAUUAUUUAAGGACUCAGCUUUGGGACAGGUAAUCCACACAGUUGCGGUUGUCCAGAGUCCCAUCCAUUUUAGUGGGCCACUGUGUCCCAUUUGGGUGCUAGGUGUGUCAGGAGGACCCUUCUGUUGAAUUGAUAAUGUGCAUAAUUGCAUUUGUUCAUGUCCUGUGAACUAGUAACAUCCACCUGCUUUGUAUUCCAGCAGGGGACCCUUUUUAACUUAAGAGCCCUGCACUGGGACACUCUACCUGUGCAAACCUAAUUGAUUAGACCUGAGCCUUUUGUAUUAGGAACCCUGCAUUAUCUUUACACCUAAAAGGUGCUAAUUGCCUAAGGCCAUUUCCUGCCCUAAGGACUGUGUUUAAACUAGAGUCUCACACUCAAUAACCACCUUUGCAUAAGAGUAGAGGAUACUUGUGACAGUUAAGUGGUUUGAUUGCAGCUACAGACCCUGCUGUUAGACUAGCAUCCAUUCCCCUCCUAGAUGAUUCACAUGACCACAAUCCGUACUAGGGACUGUUAAUGGGCUUAAAUGCAGCUACAGUCCUUUAUGUUAAUCUAGGAUCCCAUCCCCAACUCACUCUCUUUUCAUUAAUGCAGGGCUUACAUAGGACUUGUUAACGACCUUUAUUGCACUACUGUCGCUUCUGUUAGUCCAAGAUCCCAUAUCCUCCUAAAUCCUGUAUUACCGAAAGAAUAUAAGGGACUGUUAAAGUGCUUAAAGCAGUUACAGUCCCUUAUGUUUAUCUAGGACCCAUCCUCAACUAACCCCUUUUGCAUGACUGCAGAGGGUUCUUGGGACUGUUAAUAGGCUUUAUUGCAGCUACAGUCCCUUCUAUUAAUCUGGACUCCUAUCCACUCCUACACAAUUUGCAUUACCACAGACUAUACAAGGGACUGUUAAUGUGUUUAAAUGGAGCUACAGUUCCUUAUGUUAAACUAGGAUCCCAUUUCCACCUAACUCCCUUUUCAUUAAUGCAGAGCCUACAUGGGACUAGUGGGUUUAUUUGCACUACUGUCCCUUCUUUUAUUCUAGGAUCCCACCCCUCCUACUGGAUUUGCACUACCCUAAAAUGUAUGAGAGACUGUGGAUGUGCUUAAAUGUAUCUACAGUCCCUUUUGUUAACCUAUGAUCCCGUUCCCAUCUAACACCCUUUGCAUGACUGCAGAGGGUACUUGGGAUAGUUAGCUCAAUUAGAGCUACAGAUCCUUCUGUUAGUGGAGAUUCCCAUGCCCUCCUACUCCAUUUGCAUUACCAAAGGGAGUACAAGGGACUGUUAAUGGGCCUAAAUGCAGCUACAGUCCCUAUGUUAACCUAGGAUCCCAUUUCCACCUAACUCCCUUUUCAUUAAUACAGAGCCUACAUGGGACUUAGUGGGCUUUAUUGUACUACUGUCCCUUCCAUUAAUCUAGCAUCCCAUCCCCACAUAAUUCCCUUUGCAUUACAAGGGAGGAUACAAGGGACUGUUAAUAGGCUUAAAUGAAGGUUCAGUCCCUUUCUUAUUUUACGUAGGAUCCCAUUCCCACAUAAUUCCCUUUGCAAAACCACAGAGUACAAGGUACUGUUACUUACUGUACUUAAAAGCAGCUAUAGUCACUUAUGUUUAUGUAGAACUCCAUUUCCACUAACUCCCUUUUCAUGACUGCAGAGGGUAUCUGGGACUGUUAAUGGGCUUUAUUGCAGCUACAGUCCCUUCUGUUGGUCUGGAUUCCCAUCCAGUUCUAUACAAUUUGCAUUACCACAGAAUAUCUAAGGUAAUUAGCUUAAUGAGCUUAAAUACAGCUACAAUCCUUUAUGUUAACCUAAAAUUCCAUCCCCACCUAACUCUUUUUAGGACGGCUGCUGAGAGUACAGGGGACUGUUAAAGGGCUAUUUUGCAACUACAGUCCCUUUUGUUAGUCUAGAAUCUGUUUCCAUCCUACUCCAUUUGCAUUACCAUAGAGCGUAUAAGGGACUGUUAAUGUGCUUAAAUGGAGCUGUGUAGUCCCUUAUCUUAACCUGGUAUCACACCCCAACUAAUUCUCUUUUCAUACUGCAGAGCCUACGUGGAACUUGUUAAUGGACUUAAUUGCACUGCUGUCACGUCUAUUAGUCUAGGAGUCCACCCUUCCUACUCAGUUUACAUUACCCUAGAGUGUAUGAGAGACUGUUAAUGUGCUUAAAUGCAUCUGACUGUUAUGUUUACCUAUGAUCCCAUUCUCACAUAAUUCCUUUGCAAUACCAUAAAAGGUAAAAGGAAUGUUACUGUGCUUAGAAGAAGCUAUAGUCAUUUACAUUUAUCUAGGACCCUGUUCCCAUCUAAUUGACUUUCAGUGACACAGGGGGCAGUUGGGACUGUUAAUGGGCUUUAUUGCAGCUAUAGUCCCUUCUGUUAAUCUGGAAUCACUUUCCUUCCUGCUCAAUUUGUAUUACAACUGAAGGGAACUGGGACUGUCUAUAUGCUUAGGUGCAGCUACAGAUCCUUACCUUAACCUAGGAUCCCGUUCCCACCUAACUAUCUUUUUGUUAAUGCAAAGCCUACAUGGGACUUGUUAGUGGGCUUAAUUGCACUAUUGUCCCUUCUGUUAUUUUAGGAUCCCCUUUUCCUACUCGAUUUGCAUUACUUUAAGAUGUAUGAGACUGGAUUUGCUUAAAUGCAUCUACAGUUCCUAUGUUAACCUAUGAUCCCAUUCCCAUCUAACACCCUUUGCAUGGCUGCAGAGGGAACUUGGGAUAGUCAAUGGGCUCGAUUAGAGCUACAGUCCCUUCUGUUGGUUGAGAUUCCCGUUCCCUUACUUGUUUUGCAUUACCAAACGGGGGAAGAAAGGGCUGUUAAUAUGCUUAAAUGCAAUUACAGUCCCUUAUGCUAACAUGGGAUUCAUCCCCAAAUAACUCCCUUUUCGGGAUUGCAGAGGAUACUUGGGACUGUUAAUGGGCUUAACUGCAUCUACAGUCUCUUCUGUAAGUCUAGAAUCUGUUCCUUUCCUACUUGAUUUGCAUUACUACAGAGGAUACAAGGGACAGUAAAGAGGCUUAAAUGUAGCUGCAAUCCCUUAUGUUAACCUAGGAGCCUGUCCACAGUUAUUUCCCUUUUCAUUAAUGCAGAGCCUACAUAGGACUUGUUAGUGGCCUUAAUUGCUCUACUGACCCUUCCCGUUAGUUUGGGAUCCCAUCCUCACCUAAUUCUCUCUGCAUUACCAGGGAGGAUACAAGGGACUCUUAAUGUGCUUAAAUGAAGGUACAGUCCCUUUUUUAAACCUAGGAUUUCAUUCCCAUGUAACUCCAUUCGCACUACCACAGAGGGUACAAGGGGCGAAUGAGCCUAAAAGCAGCUACAGUCCCUUAUGUUAACCUAAGGAUCCUGUCUCCUAGGAACUCCCUUUUCCUGGCUGCAGAGGGUACUUGGGACUGUUAAUGAGAUUUACUGUAGCUAUAGUCUCUUUUAUUAGUCUAGAUUCCCAUUACCUUCCUAGAUGUUUUGCAUUACCACGGACUAUACAAGGGACCAUUAUAGGGCUUAAAUGCAGCUCCAGUCCCUUAUUAACCUAGAAUCUCAUCCCCACCUACAGCCUUUUUCAUGCUGCAGAGGGUACUUGGGACUGUUGAUUGGCUUUAUUGCAGCUGCAGUCCCUUCUGUUAGUCUAGAAUCUGUUUCCAUCCUACUCCAUUUGCAUUACCACAGAGGGGACAAGGGACUGUUAAUGUGCUUAAAUAGAACCACAGUCCCUUAUGUUAAAUGAGGAUCCCAUCCCCAACUAACUCUCUUUUCAUUACUGCAGAGCUUAAGUAGGACUUGUUAAUAGACUUUAUUGCAUUACUGUUCUGUUAUUCUAUAGGUUCCCACCCCUCAUUCUAUUUGCAUUACCCUAGAGUGUAAAGGGACUGUUAAUGGGCUUCUAUGGCUCUACAGACCCUUACGUUACCUAUGAUCUUUUUGCCACUUAACUCCCUUUUCAUGCCUAUAGAGAGUACUUGGGACUGUUAAUGGGCUUUAUUAUGGCUACAGUCCCUUCUGUUUGUCCAGAAUCUGUUACUUUUCUACUCGAUUUGCACAGAUGGUACAAGGGACUGUUAAUGUGCUUAAAUGAAGCUACUGUCUCUUAUGUUUAAAUAAAAUCCCAUUCCCCACCUAAAACUCUUGCAUGGCUGUAGAAGGUACUUGGGACAGUUAAUGGCUUUAAUUAGAGCUACAGUCCCUUCUGUUGGUCAAUAUUCCCAUGCCCAUACUCCAUUUGCAUUGCCAAAGGGAGUACAAGAGACUGUUGAUAUGCUUAAACGCAGUUACAGUCUCUUAUGUUAACCUAGGAUCUGAUACCCAACUAUCUCCCUUUUCAUUAAUGCAGAAGCUACAUGGGACUUGUUAACGGCUUUAAUUGCACUACUGUCCUUCCAUUAGUCUAAGAUCCCAUCCCCAACCUGAUUGCCUUUACAGUACCAACCAAGGAAGAUACAAGGGACUGUCAAUGUGCUUAAAUGCAAUUACAGUCCCUUUUAAAUUUUACCCAGGAUCCCAUUCCCCCUUAUCUCCCUUUUCAACACUACAGAGGGUACAAUUGACUUACUGUGCUUAAAAGAAGCUACAGUCCCUCAUGUUAACCUAAGGAUCUCAUCCCCAACUAACUCUCCUUUCAUGACUACAGAGAGUACUUGGGACUGUUAAUGGGCUUUAUUGUAGCUAUAGUCCCUUUUGUUAGUCUAGACUACCAUCUACUACAUGAUUUGCAUUGCCACAGAAUAUGCAAGGGACUGUUACGGCGCUUAAAUGCAGUUACAGACCCUUAUGUUAAUCUAGAAUCCCAUCCCCAACUAUCUCUCUUCAUUAAUGCAGAGCCUGCAUAGGACUUAUUAACAACCUUUAUUGCACUACUGUCUCCUCUGUUAGUCUAGGAGCACAUCCCCUCCUAGUUCCCUUUACAUUACUAAAGAAGAUACAAGGGACUGUUGAUGGGCUUAAAUACAACUACUGUCCUUUAUGUUAACCUAGGAUCCCAUCUCCACCUGAAUCCGUUUGCAUGACUGCAGAGGGACCUUGAGUUUUAUUGCGGCUACAGCCCCUUCUGGUAGUUUAGCAUCUGUUGCUGUCCUACUGGAUUUGCAUUACUACAGAUGGUGCAAGAGACUGUUAAUGUGUUUAUUAAAUGGAGCUACAGUCUUUUGGGUUUACUUAGAAUCCCUUUUCUCUAACCUAAAACCCUUUGCAUGACUGUAGAGGGUACUUGGGACUGUUAAUGGGCUUAAUUAGAGCUACAGUCCCUUUUAUUUGUUUAGAUUCUCGUGCCUUCCUACUCUAUUUGCAUUACUAAAGAGACUAUAACCGCACUAUUUAUGUGCUUAAGUGGAGCUCCAGCUCUUAUGUUAACCUAGCAUCCUAUUUCUACCUAACUCCCUUUUCAUAACUGCAGAGCCUAUGUGGGACUACUCCCUUGUAUUACUUCAGGGCUUACAUAGGACUUUUUAAUGGGCUUAAUUGCUCUGAUUUCCCUUCUUUUAGUCUAGGUUCCCAUCCCUCCUACUCUAUUUGCAUUACCCCAGAGUGUACAAGGGACUGGUAAGUAUGCUUAAAUGCAAUUAUAGUCCCUUCUGUUAGUCUAGGAUCCCAUUCCCACCUAAUUCCCUUUACAUUACCAAAGGGGAUACAAGGGACUGUUGUUGUGCUUAAGUGUGGGUACAGUCCCCAUUUUUUCUUUUUUUAGCCUAGGAUCCCUUUCCCACCCAAUUGCCUUUGGAUGACUGCAGAGAAUACUGGGGACUGUUAAUGGGCUUUAUUGUAGCCAUAGUCCUUUUUCUUAGUUUGAGAUUCCAUCCCCUCCUAAGUGAUUAACAUUAGCCCAGAGUGUAUACAGGACUGGUACUUUGCUAAAUGCAAUUAUAGUCCCUUCUGUUAGUCUAGGAUCCCAUCCCCACCUAAAUCCCUUUACAUUAUCACAAGGGAUACAAGGGACUAUUGUGCUUAAAUGUAGGUACAGCCCCCCCCCCCUUUUUAACCCUAAGAUAUCUUUCCCACAUAAAUGCCUUUGCAUGACUGCAGAGGAUACUUGGGACUGUUAAUGGGCUUUAUUGUAGCCACAGUCUCUUUUCAUAGUCUGGGAUCCCAUCCUCUCUUAAAUGAUUUACAUUACCGCAGAGGGUGCAAGGGACUGCAAAGGUGCUUAAAUGCAGGUAGUUGGUUUUUAAACCUAGGAUUCCAUUCCCAGCCUGACUUGCUUUGAAUUACUAAAGAGGCUACAAGGGACUGUUAUGUGUUUAAGUGCAGGUACAGUGCCUUUUGUUAACCUCGAAAUCCGUUCCCACCUAACUCCCUUUUCCUGACUGCAAAGGGUAAUUGGGACUGUUAACGGGCUGUACUGUAGCCACAUUCCUCUCGUAGUCUAGGAUCCCAUUCCCUCCUAUUUGAUUUGCAUUACCCCAGAGGGUACAAGGGACUUUUAAAGUGCUUAAAUGGCACUAUAGUCCCUUAUGUUAUCUAGGACCCCAUUCCCAUCUAACUUUUCAUGACUGCAGAGUGUACUUGGGACUGUAAAUGUACUUAACUGCCUAUACAGUCUCACCUCUUAGUCCAGAUUACGUGCCCUCCUACUUGAAUUGUAUUAUAACAGAGGGUACAAGGGACUUUUAAUGUGCUUUUUUAAAAGCAGCUAAAUUUCCUUACCAUAACCUCAAAAUCCAUUUCCAUCUCAAAAUCCACUCCCACCUAACUCCCUUUCCAUCACAGCAGAGGGUACUUGGGACUGUUAAUAGGCUUAAUUAAAGCUAUUCUCCCUUCUGUUGGUCUAGAUUUCCUUUCCCGCCUCUAUUUGGAUUGUACCACAGUGUACAAUGGACUGUUAACUGUGCUUAAAUGCAGGUACAGUCCUUUUUUAAAACCUAGGAUCCUAUUCCCACCUAACUUCCUUUGCUUUACUGCAGAGGGUACUUGGGGCUUGUUAAUAGGCUUAGUUGGACUACAGUCCCUUCUGUUAGUCUAGGAUCCCAUCCCCUCCUACGUGAUUUGCAAUUCCACAAAGGCUACAAGGGACUGUUAAGGUGCUUAUUAAAUGCAAAUACAGUCCCUUAUGUUAACCUGGGAUCCCAUUCCCACCUAUCUCCCUUUGCAUGACUGCAAAGGUAUUUGAGACCUUUAAAGUAGUUAAUGGCUGCUGUAGCCUCUUCCAUUAUAAGUGUACUUUCCCAAGCACUCCAGCUCCAUGUAACCUGGGAGCACAUUUGGGGCUGUUAAUGCGCUCAUUUUUAGCUGUGGUCCCUUUUAUAAUUCUAGGAUCACAUCCCUUUCUGCUUCUUUGUGUUACUUGUUGGUAUUUGGGACAGAAAAGUACUUAAAUGCAGCUGUGAUCUAACUUAGGCUCCCAUGCCCUCUAACUUUUUACAUUACCCCAGUGUAUAUUUGGGACUGUUAAAGUGCUUAAUUGCAGCUGUGGUCCCCUCUGUUAGUCUAAUUUCCCAAGCUCACCAAUUCCCUUUGUAUUACAGCAGAGGGUACCUGGGACUGUUAAAGUGUUUAUUUGCAGCUCUGGUCCCUUCUCUUAGUCUGGGGUCCAUGCCCCCAGCUUUGUUUGCAUUACCACAGAGGGUACUUGGAACUGUGAAUGUGCUUAAAUUCAGGUGUGGUUCCCUUGUAAUUUAGGAUUCCUCGACUCCUUUUACCAGGGAGGGCGUUUGGGACUGUCAAGGUGGUAAGGGCACCUGCAUUCCUUUCUUUCUGUUCAUCUAGGAUCCCAUUCCCUCCUACUCCCUUUGUAUUGCAUGGGAGGAUUUGGGGGGCUCUUAAGGUGCUUAACUGCAGCUGUGGUCCCUCCUGUUAGUUUCCAAUCCCUUUCUACUCCCCUUGCAUUACCACAGAGGGUACUUGGGACUGUUGUAGUACAUCCCAUUCUCUCAUGCCUGUUAGCAUUACAGCACAAGGUCCUGAACACCACGGCCCUUUCUUUUGCACUGUUAAUGCACAAUUUCAUUUGUCCCUCAUCUUCUGCAGUAUUUAUAGACCUCACUCAUUUCCCUUGUAUUCAGUGGUGAAUGCCCUUUACUCAAGACCUGUGUACUAGGAUAGUUAAAGUGAGCCAUGGUAAUUGACCCCAAAUAAUGUCUUUCACUUAAGUCCCUUGUAUUCUUUGUUUUACAAGAAGAUGUAUUAGUUACCUCAGUUACUUCCUUCUGGGAGUGUUUACAUGCAAAAUUCCAGUGUUCAUGGCCCCUUUCUUUAAACUAAUAUCCCUCCUUUUUUAUAUUCAGGGGAUGUUAGUGACCCAAAGUCCCUCUCUUGGGAUUCUAAUGUGCAUGUGCCCUCGUGAUAAGCUAAUACGUUGAGUUCAGGGAUUACUGACUACCCAAGUCUUUUUUCGGUGGGGGUGGGGGACAGUUAAUGUGCAAAAUUAUACUAGGAUCCCAUCCUAUCCCACCCCUUUUGCAUUUGGGGUGCCGACCAACUGUGGCUGCUUCUUCUGUACAGUUUAAAUGCACAUAAUUUCAGUAAUCCAUGCUCCCUUAUGUUAGACUAGAAUCCCAUUUUCUUGCCCCAUUUACGUUACUUUGGGAGCUUCUGAAUAGCCAAGAUUCAUUUUCUUGGACUGUUAAUGUGUAUACUGCCAUUUGCUCCUGUACAUCAGGUAAGGACCCUCUCCAUUCUAUUUAUAUUUCAGCAGGAGGUGCCUACUUCUUAAGAUUUAUAUACUUCUGCAGUUAAUCUGCAUAAUCUUAGUUGUCCUGUACACAUUCUCGAUUGUCCACAAUUGCUUUUUAGGUUAGGACUCCUUUACUUAUUUAAGCACAGCAUCCUGACUACCUUAAAGGCUUUGUCUUGGGACUGUUACUAUGUGUAAUUACAAUUGUCCAUGGUCCUUUGAGUUAACUUGUGUCCCAAUUUUCACACUCUCUUUGCUUUAUUGCAAUGGGGUACUGUUCACUUAAGGCCCCUUUCUCAGACAGUAUUAUAUGUAAUGACAAUUACAUUAGGAUCCUUCCCCUUCACAUUCCCUUUGAAGUACCACAAGGAUUCUGAUCCCUAAGGUCCCAUUUCUUGACCUGUUAAUGUACGUGAUGUAUUUGUCUGUGUUCUUGUGCAUUCCUUUUCUCUUCCAGCAGGAAGUGCCCCCUCCACAAGACUGUUAAGUUUGGACAGUCAAGAUGCACAUUUGUAACUGACUGCAGCCAGUCACCUUGGAUGUUAAUGUGUAUAACUGCACAUGGCUCAUCCCAUAUGAAUAAGAUCCUACCCUCUCAGACCCCUUCUUUAGUAUAGCAAGGGUACUGAUUCCUAAGACCUCUUUCCAUGGCUAGUUAUUGUACAUAAGUUGCUUUUGUACAUGUUCCUGUACGCUAAAUAAGGAUGCCCCUCUUCCCACUCCCUUUGUCUUUUACAGGGAGCGUACACUACUUUAAGAUCCUUAUAUUUAUUUGUACAAAGUACAUGAUUUUAAUUGACCAUACCAUACCCCUUGGACAUUAAUGUACAUAAUUACACCUUAAUUCAUCUUAUCCUUUUGCUCUCCAUUUGCAGUAUAUCAGGGUUUGUGACCCUAAAUCAGCUCUUUCCUUGGCCUGUUAAUGUGCAUAAUUGCAUUUGUCCAGGUUCUUGCACACUAGACAAGGACACCCCCCCACCCCCGCCAACUUCCUAUGCCUUCCGGUACGUAGGUGGUUCCCACUGCUAAGACCUUUAUAUUUGGAUAGUUAAUGUGCAGAAUUGCAGUUUUCCACAACCCAGUUACUUCCAGGACUGCUGUAUCUCCUUUGCAAUACCUCAGGGGAUACUGUUUUUCCCCAAGAUCUUUUCUUGUGGACUGUUAAUAUAUGUAAUUGAAAUGGUUGUCUUCAUCCAUAGACUAAGAUAAUAUCCCCUCAGCUAACUAUCAUGACCUCAGCUCUUGGACAAUUAAUAUUCACCAAUAACAUAUCAAAAGUACUGAUCAUUAGAUAGGACCCCUGUUCCCUUACUGUAUACAUCAGGGGUACUAAGGCCCCCUUUUUUGACUGUUAAUGCGAAUAUUUGCAAUUAUCUAAUUCCCCUUCUAUUAGAGUAGGACAUUAUUUCCUUGCACCCCAUUUGGAUUACUGCAAGGGGCUGCUGACCACACAAAACUUUUACUGGGACUGCUGAUGAGCACAAUGACGAUGAGAAAUGGGUUUUUACUCCCUGGCCUUGUUGGGCAAGCGCUCCCAGCCCAGCCCCAAUUUCCCAUGGUAUAAUAAAGUAUAAAUACUGCAGUGUGCCAUGAACUUUCCAUCAAACAGCAGCCCAUACUCCCACUCCACUUGCAUUGGCUCCAGUGUAUCAAAUUCCAAAUAGCCAUGGUCUUGCCCUUAUGUUCCCUCUCCAUACCCUUUGCCUGCCCUUGGACCUUUCUUAUGGACUAUUAAUGCUCACAAUUUUCAGGUGUCCAUGUAUCCAGAUAAGAUUGUGCUCCCUUGCCCCUCCUGCCCCUCCCACCCCUGCCCUGCCCUUUUGCAUUGUUGCUGGGAAAUGUCCACUGGCAAAGCCCUUUUGUUUUUAAGACAUUAACAAUCCCAGAUGUCAUUGCUUUGCCCAUUUUGAAUUGCUGUAAUGCCUCAGUUACCCUUUCUUUGGUUCCGCCCAUCAGACAUGGACCCUUCCAUUUCCUUCUUUGCAUUACUCCUGAGUAGUACUGACUACCCACAGCCCCUUCUGUGUCCUAUUUUUUCAGCCCACCAGCCCAAGGUCUCCCUACCACUUUGAUGUUGUAUUUGUGCAGUAUUGACUACCAAAAGCAGACCUGAACUAGGUGGGUGGGCCUUCACUCCUUUUCCUGCAUUUGUUAAUGAUCCCAAUUCCAAUUAUUGUCACAUUCUGGGGACAGGAACCAUUCCUGCCCCUCUUUUACUGCUUUACUAGGCAAAAUUUUUAAAGCAAGUCAGGCCCAAGGGAACUUGGAUUGCUACCCUGUAUUUAUUUAUUAUUUAUUUUAUAUAAGUAUCAAUUGAAAAUUGUCUCCCCAGGAAGGAAGUUUAACAUUGUCUCUGCAUUCUCCCUUUCAGAGCAGAUUGCCUGGCUAAGAAUCUCUCUUGGCCUCUUGUAUAUUCCCAACAUGUAAUGCCAAUUGCCAGGAUACAACCAAAAAGUUGUUAUUUUUUAAAUUUUUUUAAAAUGUACAUCUGGUUUGCAAGGUGGAAUUGAUAACCUGGUCAUUGAAUUUUUGAAGUCUUAAAAACCCAUUUAUCCCAUGUAUCUGAUGACCAGUGUCUCUCAUUUACUAAGGGUGGUGGGUCUGUGGAUAGACGGCUGUGACUUUGAUAUUUUAGUAUUACUACCAAAGGAGUUCUAGAAUGGAAUUCUUAGGACAAGUAUCUUUGGGCUCUACCACCAUUUUGAAACCAUUCCUGUUUUGGCUAUACCAUUAUUCACUUUUAGAAAAACAACCUGAACUUCCUAAUCCUUAAAUUUCUUCAUCUGGAGCAUCAACCAGCCCCUGCUUAUUUCAAGAACAUUGCUGUAAAUGGAUGAAAUGAGAAAACAUAUGCUGAAGUGCUUUUUGGAAACUGUUGAUCACUUUAUUUGAUUAAUCUGUUAAAUAAAAUGCGUUACAUUAAAUUCUUAGCCUAAAGCACCACACUGAAGUGAGGGCUUAGAAAUGAUGGGACCAGUUUCCUGUUUUAUAUUAAAAUAAAAAUAAGCCAAGAUCUAGUCAUUCUUUUGGAUAUAGGUUUUCAGGAGUGAGAUAGCUGCCUGGUUAAGAUGAAUAAUAGCCUAGCUUCCAGUGUACAGGGUGUUUGAUGGCAGAGAAGUAUUAAUGUGGAACUGCUGAAGGAAAUAACUAGUUAUCACUGCAGCAGUUCUUUGUAAUCACUGAAAAGGAUACUCUUCUCUGAGAAGGAUGUCAAAAGAUCGGCUCAGCUCAGGGUGCAGUUUGCACUACUAGCUCCUUGGACAGCUGUAAGAAGAGUCUCUGGCUCUUUAGACUACUGGAUGAAUUCUGAGCUGGUACCCCCACCUCAAGAGGAAGGAUGGAUCAAUUUUAGGUGAAUUGAAGCCUGUACUAAACAGCCUCCAAAGGAUAUUCCAAGCAAGUGAGCCCUGAGACUGCAAGCAGCUCUCAGAAGUUCCACAUUCAUCAGGUCUUCCCUUUUGAGAAUCUGGAUAAGCUCCAACCAAUCUAAAAAGAUGGUUUGCGGACUGUCUGGAGAAAAAGAUCUUCCUCAGAAGAAUAGGCUUGUUGCCUUACAGUGUUAGUGACUCAUUCCCUUUGACGAUCCUUAGGUGGAGAUGGGGCAUGAGGAUCCUCCAGGGGAAAAGCUCACUACCACUGGGCAACAACCCUAGGUCAGGAGAUUCUACCAAGAUUCUUUCCUGGGUCCAGAUAGGAAGAUGAAGUCUCAAGACAACCACCACACAUCUGAGGAAAACAGGGACAACAACUGCCAUAUCUUACAUUCAUCAUGACAUUCAUCAUGAGCAGAUCAUAAUUCUGGACCCUUUGAUCCCCAAAGCCUCCCUUGAGGCCCUGUUGGAGAACUUCACCAAUCAUUUAUAUACUUCAAGAUGCCUUGGGAUAACUGGACAAAACAAAAAAACAACCUGUUUGAGAAGAUAAAACAGUUGUAUCUUUUUAUGCUGUGCCUGCUAAUUGAAAGAAGCCUCAUAACUAUGAAUGUGAACCUGACUAGGAAUGGAACAAAGUUAUCUAUCAUCAGGCUGGAUCUAAAGAAUCAGCACCCUGCAUACUCUAGCUCCUGAUUGUUCCCUUCAUAUUUGCCAAAUCGUUAUCUUUCUAAGAAGCAGUGUAGAGCAAGAAAUUUGAACACACCAAAGGAAGAUCAACAUGCCUGGCGGUCUGGCAUUUUAAAACAGCAGAAUGAAUGAUUGUCUGCCUUUGCUUAUCUUAAACUCUUAAGUGUGUAUUUGUUUGCUUGUCUCUUUCUUCCUUGCGCAUCUUUGGUCUUUCUUCUCUAAAUUGUGUCUUCUUCUCAGUACAUCUUUGUCUCCUUUUUUGUACCUGAGUGUGCGGUCUGUGUCUCGUCUUAGAUGUCUCUCUCUAGUUUCUUUUUUUCAUUUUGUUAUUGAUUCUCCUUGGUCUCCUAGAUCUGGCUCUUCUGUCACUGUUGUUCACUUUGUGUCUCUUGAGUCACAUUCUGUGUGCUCUUUGCUCAUUUCUUGUUAUGCCUACCUUUCUUCUUUUUCUCUUUGUGAACUCUGAUUGUCUGUUAUCCAUUCCCCUUCUUGUUCGUUUGACAUUUCACCUAGUCUAACACUGGCUACCAUUUUGCUGUUUCUACUCCUGAUCUCACAUUUCUCUUUUCACAUAUUCUUUUUGCCUCUCUUGGGCCAUUUUCUCUUUUUCCUGCUUUGUAUGCUUCUGUGUCUCCUUGUGCUUUGUGAUUUUCCAUUUCAACAUUCAUCUCUCUGUUCUCUUAUUUCUUCUCUACUUUUGACUUCCUACUCACCUUUGAGUAUUUUGGCCCUUUCUUGUGUCUAUGUCUCCCCUUUGAUUACAUGCAAUUCUCUCUCCUUGCACAUUUUCUAUGUAUGUGUGUGUGCUCUUGUGUGUUUGUAACAAAGGGGCUUCCUAACCCCUUCUCAGUAGGUGCAAGAGUGUCAGCUACCAAAAUAAGCAUUGCAGAGCUGUUCCUUAUGCCAGACCAUGCUGUGAGAUGCUGUGAGAUUGUGCUGUGAAAUGAUCCAAGACCAAUAGAAGGCCCAAGAUCUGGACUGGAGUUGGAUGGAAGGCUAAAGUCUCAGUGAAACUGAAGGCCAAAGACCUAGGACUCAAGCCUGUGUAUAUGGACAGAAGGCCCAAGAGAGACAGAUAUCUCAAGACUAAAUUAAGUGGGCAGCUCAAGGUCCAUGGCCCAGAUUCUGGGAAUGAUAGAAGCACCAAGACCAAGGGAAAUUACAAGAUGAUAACCCUAAAUCCCAGCUCUUUUCUAUUGUUCUCCUCCCUACUCUUGGAUAUUUUCACUUCUUCCUUUCCUGUUCUUAUACCACCAUUUAAACCCACUUUUGUGAUGUUCUUUUUGAUGUUGCUGUUACCUUAAAGUUAAAGAAACAUAUCUUCAAAUCAACAGUAUUAUGCCUGGGCCAGUCUUAAACCAGUUUUUUUAAACUUCCAUUUCUCUUCACCUCCACUCCACUUGAGAGACACAUAGGUGACAUUAUAUUUCAGUCCUCUCUUUUCCUCAGAUACUCUAGGCUAAUGAGAAGAGAAAAGUAUCAUGCUGUUGAGGGGGAAAAAUGUGCCAGGCUAUCUAGAGAAAAUAUGAAGAGAUGCUCCAGGCCAAUGAGAAGAAUUAGACAGGAAAUACACAGAUGCACCAGCCUGCUGAAAAGCAUCAGCCAGCAACACCUUACUCCUUUGAGCUUAGUUUCUGGCAUCCAAGACUACCACUACUGAUAAACAAGAAAGAACAUGCUAUCAUCCGAUUUUUGUAGCAUAAAUGAAGUUGUGAACAAAUCUUUUUUUAAAAAGGAAUGGCUUCACCUCUACUCUUUUACCUACCUCAAAGGGAAUCUAUGCCAAAAUACUCCAGUGAAUGCAAGACACUGGACUUGUGAACUGAUGUGAAACACAGAAUCUCUGAGCCUUGGUUGUUUUGAAGAUUGAAAAAUUUUGUUCAACAUGGAUGACCACCAAAAAUCAAUGUAAACUUGUCUAUGUGCCACAACUGAGACAAAUUGAAGAGUUUGUUGUUUAAUGUCAAAUAAAAUACUGUUUUUUGAAAA